rnacentral:tRNA from 1 species
GCGGGUAUGGUGGAAUUGGUAGACACGCUAGACUUAGGAUCUAGUGCCGUGAGGCGUGGGGGUUCGACUCCCUUUACCCGCACAA